GGGGGUGUACCGGAUUCGACCCGUACGGUCCGGAUUGCGGGCAGCAGGUGGAGACGCCGACCUCCUGAUUCGGCAACCUUUUACGUGCCAACAACAACGGCACCCUCGCUCUCGCCGCGUAAGCGCCGUUAGCGACGGACUCGCGGUCGCGCCGCCUUGAGCGGCCGUAGCGUCCGACACCAACCGAGGCUUGCCCAGACCGGGGUCCGGACCGGUUUGGGGACUAACUCCGGAAUACGGGAGGGAAAGCGUGCCGCUCCGCCACCCCCUCCUCGACAACUUGAAUGACCGGCUAAACCUGUAGACGUUCGCCUUUCGCGUUCGGGGACGCGGGUUCAACUCCCGCCACCUCCAACA
rnacentral:tmRNA from 1 species